rnacentral:rRNA from 1 species
UUAUUAAUACCCCCAAAAGCACUCAAUACUAAACAAACAAAUCAUUUUUCCCCCCAAGUACGGGCGACAGAAAAGGAACGCUCAGAGCUAUAGAAAAAGUACCGCAAGGGAAUGUUGAAAAAGAAGUGAAACAAGCCAGUAAAGUUUAAAAAAGCAGAGACUUAUACUCGUACCUUUUGCAUCAUGAUUUAGUCAGCAAAAACAAGCAAAAGGUACUUUAGUUUGACCUCCCGAAACUAAGUGAGCUACUCCAAGACAGCCUAAAACAGGGCUAACCCGUCUCUGUGGCAAAAGAGUGGGACGAGCUUAGAGUAGAGGUGAUAAACCUACCGAACUUAGUUAUAGCUGGUUGCCUGAGAAAUGAAUAGAAGUUCAGCUUUUUGGUUUCUUCCCCCAACCUGCUUUAGCUUCAACCGAGCCAAAGAAACCAAAAAAGUUAAUUAAAGGGGGUACAGCUCCUUUAAACAAGAUACAACUUCAUCAGCCGGAUAAAGAUCAUAUAUAAAAAGGGCAGAAUAUUUUAGUGGGCUUAAAAGCAGCCACCUAUAAGAAAGCGUCAAAGCUCCUUCAUACCACCAUCCCCCCUUAAAUUCAGAUAAUAUAUCUAAACCCGCUAAUUUUAUCAAGCCGCCCCAUGUUAACAUGGGGGCGAUUAUGCUAAAAUGAGUAAUAAGAAAAGCCACCUUUUCUCCUUGCACUCGUGUAAAUCGAAACGGACCUUCCAUCGAAUAUUAAUCGGCCCCAAAAAAAGAGGGUAAUGAACCAUCAACCUCAACAACAGGAAAAACAUUCAAACAUCAACCGUUAAUCUCACACAACAUGCUUACAAGGAAAGACUAAAAGAAAAAGAAGGAACUCGGCAAACACAAGCCUCGCCUGUUUACCAAAAACAUCGCCUUUUGAAAACUAAACAUAAAAGGUCC